rnacentral:miRNA from 15 species
GAGCAGCGGGUCGAUCCGAGC